rnacentral:rRNA from 1 species
CAGUAGCCGCGGUAAUACAGAGGGUGCGAGCGUUAAUCGGAUUUACUGGGCGUAAAGCGUGCGUAGGCGGCUUUUUAAGUCGGAUGUGAAAUCCCUGAGCUUAACUUAGGAAUUGCAUUCGAUACUGGGAAGCUAGAGUAUGGGAGAGGAUGGUAGAAUUCCAGGUGUAGCGGUGAAAUGCGUAGAGAUCUGGAGGAAUACCGAUGGCGAAGGCAGCCACCUGGCCUAAUACUGACGCUGAGGUACGAAAGCAUGGGGAGCAAACAGGAUUAGAUACCCGCGUAGUCCCUGUCUCUUAUAA